rnacentral:lncRNA from 1 species
UCUUUGAAGCCGAUGUUAAACCAGUUGGUACUGAUGGCAUCUCUGUUGAUGGCAAGGUCAUCCAGGUUGUUUCUAACCGCAACCCCGUCAAUCUCCCCUGGGGGUAAGUCAUUAAUUUCAAUGCUUAACACACUUUUAUGUUGUUUGAUUUAAAAGAACAUUUUUUAAUUUUUAUAUUGUUUGAUUUCAAAUGACUAUAUGGUGAUUCAGGGACUUGGGCAUCGACCUUGUGAUUGAAGGGACAGGAGUGUUUGUAGACAGAGAGGGUGCGGGCAAGCACAUUCAGGCUGGUGCCAAGAAAGUACUUAUUACAGCCCCCGGCAAGGGUGACAUCCCAACCUACGUUGUUGGUGUCAAUGCGGAUGCUUACAAGCCAGAUGAGCCCAUCAUCAGCAAUGCUUCUUGCACAACCAACUGCCUUGCCCCAUUCGUCAAGGUUCUUGACCAGAAGUUUGGUAAAUACCAAAAACACCUUCAGAAAUCUUCACUCUCCCUUUGUUCCGAUAUAAUUCAGCUUCGUAAAACGCAAAAAGUCACCCAAUUGAAUGAUAGAAUUUUUCCCAUGUGCGCAGGCAUUAUCAAGGGAACCAUGACCACCACACACUCGUACACUGGCGACCAAAGGCUACUCGAUGCUAGCCACCGUGACCUCAGGCGUGCAAGAGCAGCUGCACUCAACAUUGUCCCAACAUCAACUGGUGCGGCAAAAGCUGUGGCCCUUGUCCUCCCAGCACUCAAAGGCAAACUAAACGGCAUUGCCCUUCGUGUGCCAACACCAAACGUCUCGGU